rnacentral:misc_RNA from 1 species
GAUGAAGAACGUAGCGAACGUGCGAAACGUAAUGUGAAUUGCAGAAUUCAGUGAAUCAUCGAAUCUUUGAACGCAUCUUGCGCUCCUUGGUAUUCCGAGGAGCAUGCCUGUUUGAGUGUCGUGAAUACUCUCAACUUCAACCCUUUUUUCGGAAAGGGAGGAAGGUUGGACUUGGGUGUUUGUUGAAGUGCGAGCUUCGACUCAUCCUAAAUGCAUUAGCGAUCUGCCUCGAUCACACACAAUGUGAUAAUUAAAACUAAAGCAUUGUUUAAUGAUCAAGUCGAGACUGCUUCUAACUGUCGCAAGACAAUAACGUGCAUACAUUUGUGCAUGUCAUUUGACCUCAAAUCAGCUAGGACUACCCGCUGAACUUAAGCAUAUCAAUAAGCGGAGGA